GUGGGGAAUAUUGCGCAAUGGGGGAAACCCUGACGCAGCAACGCCGCGUGAUUGAAGAAGGUCUUCGGAUUGUAAAAAUCUUUUAUCAAGGACGAAGAAGUGACGGUACUUGAUGAAUAAGCUCCGGCUAACUACGUGCCAGCAGCCGCGGUAAUACGUAGGGAGCAAGCGUUAUCCGGAUUUACUGGGUGUAAAGGGCGAGUAGGCGGAUUGGCAAGUUGGGAGUGAAAUGUCGGGGCUUAACCCCGGAACUGCUUCCAAAACUGUUGAUCUUGAGUGAUGGAGAGGCAGGCGGAAUUCCCAGUGUAGCGGUGAAAUGCGUAGAUAUUGGGAGGAACACCAGUGGCGAAGGCGGCCUGCUGGACAUUAACUGACGCUGAGGAGCGAAAGCGUGGGGAGCAAACAGGAUUAGAAACCCUAGUAGUCCGACUGAGACC
rnacentral:rRNA from 1 species